AGAAUCAACGCUGGCGGCGUGCCUAACACAUGCAAGUCGAACGAGAAAGUGGAGCAAUCCACGAGUAAAGUGGCGCACGGGUGAGUAACACGUGACUAACCUACCCUUGAGUGGGGGAUAACCUAGGGAAACCUGGGCUAAUACCGCAUAAUACCUACGGGUCAAAGGAGCAAUUCGCUUAAGCGAGGGGGUCGCGGCCGAUUAGUUAGUUGGCGGGGUAAUGGCCCACCAAGACGAUGAUCGGUA
rnacentral:rRNA from 1 species